GAUGAAGAACGUAGCGAAAUGCGAUAAGUAAUGUGAAUUGCAGAAUUCAGUGAAUCAUCGAAUCUUUGAACGCACAUUGCGCCCGCCAGUAUUCUGGCGGGCAUGCCUGUCUGAGCGUCAUUUCAACCCUCAUGCCCCUAGGGCGUGGUGUUGGGGAUCGGCCAAAGCCCGCGAGGGACGGCCGGCCCCUAAAUCUAGUGGCGGACCCGUCGUGGCCUCCUCUGCGAAGUAGUGAUAUUCCGCAUCGGAGAGCGAUGAGCCCCUGCCGUUAAACCCCCAACUUUCCAAGGUUGACCUCAGAUCAGGUAGGAGUACCCGCUGAACUUAAGCAUAUCAAUAAGCGGAGGA
rnacentral:misc_RNA from 1 species